UUUCCCAUCGUGCUGAGGCGGGUGGCAUGGCGGAGAAGGAUGACACCGGAGUUUGACGAAGAGGUGGUUUUUGAGACAUUAAAACUACCACUACUAUGGAAGUACCACUACUAGAUGGAAGUUUGACCUGGACAUGGUGGCUCACACUUGUAAUCCCAGCACUUUGAGAGGCCAAGGCAGCAGAGCCCUUGCUAGAAGCCAGUGGCAUGCUCUUGAACUUCCCAGCCUGCAGAACUGUGAGCUAAAAUUCUCCACUUUACCAAUACUUACAGGAUCUGGGACACACAGACUUUGAAAUAUGUUCUUCUUUGUCACCAAAAACAGAAAAAUGCACAACAGAGGGACAACAAAAGCCUCCUACAAGAGUCCUACCAAAAUACCUGGGAUAUAGUAAUCACUCAAUGAAUAUAAACUGCACUUACUGGCAUGCUCAAGGAAUGGGCUAUUAAGCAAGGUAUCCUGUUAAAAGUGGCUGAAACCAUCAAAAGUUGGAUUUUUUUUUCUCAGUGCAAUAAGAAAGAUGACUUACUUCACAAGUUG
rnacentral:sRNA from 1 species